UUAGCCCUAAAUCAAGGCCUGCAGUUUGUUGCAGCUGCUGGUUUCAAACGGGAGCCUAAAAAUAAGUCUUUCUAGGAUCUGUUAGCCAUUUCAGAACUUUGGAAAUUUAAUGGUCAAUACAUUAGAAAAAAAUAGCU
ensembl:snoRNA small nucleolar RNA SNORA2/SNORA34 family